rnacentral:sRNA from 1 species
GUAACGGCGAGUGAAGCGGCAACAGCUCAAAUUUGAAAUCUGGCCGCAAGGUCCGAGUUGUAAUUUGUAGAGGAUGCUUUUGGCGAGGUGACUUCCGAGUUCCCUGGAACGGGACGCCAUAGAGGGUGAGAGCCCCGUACGGUCGUGCCACCGAGCCUCUGUAAAGCUCCUUCGACGAGUCGAGUAGUUUGGGAAUGCUGCUCUAAAUGGGAGGUGUACGUCUUCUAAAGCUAAAUACCGGCCAGAGACCGAUAGCGCACAAGUAGAGUGAUCGAAAGAUGAAAAGCACUUUGAAAAGAGGGUUAAAAAGUACGUGAAAUUGUUGAAAGGGAAGCAUUCAUGACCAGACUUGGGCUUGGUUGAACAUCCGGCGUUCUCGCCGGUGCACUCUGCCAGCUCAGGCCAGCAUCAGUUUGCCCCGGGGGACAAAGGCGGCGGGAAUGUGGCUCCCUACGGGGAGUGUUAUAGCCCGUCGUGUAAUGCCCUGGGGUGGACUGAGGUUCGCGCUUCGGCACGG